rnacentral:rRNA from 1 species
AUUGAACGCUGGCGGCAUGCCUUACACAUGCAAGUCGAACGGCAGCACGGGAGCAAUCCUGGUGGCGAGUGGCGAACGGGUGAGUAAUAUAUCGGAACGUGCCCAGUCGUGGGGGAUAACGUAGCGAAAGCUACGCUAAUACCGCAUACGAUCUAUGGAUGAAAGCGGGGGAUCGCAAGACCUCGCGCGAUUGGAGCGGCUGAUAUCAGAUUAGGUUGUUGGUGAGGUAAAAGCUCACCAAGCCGACGAUCUGUAGCUGGUUUGAGAGAACGACCAGCCACACUGGGACUGAGACACGGCCCAGACUCCUACGGGAGGCAGCAGUGGGGAAUUUUGGACAAUGGGCGCAAGCCUGAUCCAGCAAUGCCGCGUGCAGGAUGAAGGCCUUCGGGUUGUAAACUGCUUUGUACGGAACGAAACGGUGAGCUCUAAUACAGUUUGCUAAUGACGGUACCGUAAGAAUAAGCACCGGCUAACUACGUG